GACGAACGCUGGCGGCGGGCUUAACACAUGCAAGUCGAACGGAAAGGCCCUGCUUUUGUGGGGUUCUCGAUGGGCGAACGGGUGAGUAACACGUGAGUAACCUGCCCUUGACUUUGGGAUAACUUCAGGAAACUGGGGCUAAUACCGUAUAGCAUCUCCCGCUGCAUGGAGGGGGUUGGAAAGUUUCGGCGGUUGGGGAUGGACGCGCGGCUUAUCAGCUAGUUGGUGGGGUAGUGGCUUACCAAGGCUUUGACCGGUAGCCGGCCUGAGAGGGUGACCGGCCACAUUGCGACUGAGAUACGGACCAGACUCCUACGGGAGGCAGCAGUGGCGAAUCUUGCCCAAUGGGCGGAAGCCUGAUGCGGCAACGCUGCGUGCGGGAUGACGGCCUUCGGGUUGUAAACCGCUUUCGCCUGUGACGAAGCGUGAGUGACGGUAAUGGGUAAAGAAGCACCGGCUAACUACGUG
rnacentral:rRNA from 1 species